GAUGAACGCUGGCGGCGUGCCUAAUACAUGCAAGUCGAACGAAACUUCUUUAUCACCGAGUGCUUGCACUCACCGAUAAAGAGUUGAGUGGCGAACGGGUGAGUAACACGUGGGCAACCUGCCCAAAAGAGGGGGAUAACACUUGGAAACAGGUGCUAAUACCGCAUAACCAUAGUUACCGCAUGGUAACUAUGUAAAAGGUGGCUAUACUACCGCUUUUGGAUGGGCCCGCGGCGCAUUAGCUAGUUGGUAGGGUAAAGGCUUACCAAGGCAAUGAUGCGUAGCCGAAUUGAGAGGUUGAUCGGCCACAUUGGGACUGAGACACGGCCCAAACUCCUACGGGAGGCAGCAGUAGGGAAUCUUCCACAAUGGGCGAAAGCCUGAUGGAGCAACGCCGCGUGGGUGAAGAAGGCCUUCGGAUCGUAAAACCCUGUUGUUAGAGAAGAAAGUGCGUGAGAGUAACUGUUCACGUUUCGACGGUAUCUAACCAGAAAGCCACUGCUAACUACGUG
rnacentral:rRNA from 1 species